AGUAAAGUCAGCUAAAAAAGCUCUUGGGCCCAUACCCCAAACAUGUUGGUUAAAAUCCUUCCUUUGCUA
rnacentral:tRNA from 1 species